CAGCAGUCGCCGCGGUAAUACGAAGGGGGCUAGCGUUGUUCGGAUUUACUGGGCGUAAAGCGCACGUAGGCGGCUUUGUAAGUUAGAGGUGAAAGCCCGGAGCUCAACUCCGGAAUUGCCUUUAAGACUGCAGAGCUAGCAGGUGAGAGAGGUGAGUGGAAUUCCGAGUGUAGAGGUGAAAUUCGUAGAUAUUCGGAAGAACACCAGUGGCGAAGGCGGCUCACUGGCUCAUACUGGACGCUGAGGUGCGAAAGCGUGGGGAGCAAACAGGAUUAGAUACCCCUGUAGUCCCUGUCUCUUAUAC
rnacentral:rRNA from 1 species